UCUCUCCCCCUCCUUCUCGAUUUUUCUCUUCACCUUUCCCUUCUUCUUCUUGCUGACGCCACCAUCUCUAUCUAUCUCUCCAUCGCUGCACGCUGACAGCUACUAUGUUUGAACGUCAAACGCAUGGUCGCCAGCCAUAGCCGGUCGUAGCCAACUGUGUUCAACGAAGUCGUCAUUUCUUGGCUCUAUGGUUGAAGAAGAAGGGGAAAAACUCAAAGGAAGUUUCAAUCAUAACAAUUUUUUUACCCACUCUGCAUACUUCUGGUUUUUAUUUCAAUUUGAGCUUCUCAAGAAAAUCUAAGAGGUUGCGAACCAAAGACCAAGUGUUGAUUUAACAUUCGUCAUCAGUCAUAGAUCUCCAUUAUUCUUUGUAUGUUUAUAGUAAAUUUUUGUAAUGCAUCAUGGAGUAGUUAAAUGUGACGAGAGUGAGGUUAAGAACUUGUGUGAAAUUCCCUCUUAGAAUGAAAUCAUGUGUAUGUAACUUUUAA